CUAUACAACUCUGAACACAUGCUAUCUCAUCUGAUUUCAGAAGCUAAGCUAGGUCAGGUCUGGUUAGUACUUGGAAGGGAGACAGAUAGAUCAAUUAGAUAGAAAAUAAAU
rnacentral:rRNA from 1 species